CCAAUAGCGUAUAUUAAAGUUGUUGCAGUUAAAAAGCUCGUAGUUGAAUUUCGGGAUUAGUACGUUGGUCGUGCCUUCGGUACGUACUGGUGUUACUGGUUCCUACCUUCUGACGAACCAUCAUGUCAUUAAUUUGGUGUGGCGGGGAAUCAGGACUGUUACUUUGAAAAAAUUAGAGUGUUUAAAGCAGGCUCGCGCUUGAAUACAUUAGCAUGGAAUAAUGAAAUAGGACGUUGACCCUAUUUUGUUGGUUUCUAGGAUUGACGUAAUGAUUAAUAGGGAUAGUUGGGGGCAUUAGUAUUCAAUUGUCAGAGGUGAAAUUCUUGGAUUUAGUGAAGACUAACUACUGCGAAAGCAUUUGCCAAGGAUGUUUUCAUUAAUCAAGAACGAAAGUUAGGGGAUCGAAGACGAUCAGAUACCGUCGUAGUCUUAACCAUAAACUAUGCCGACUAGGGAUCGGAUGAUGUUAUUUUUAAUGACUCAUUCAGCGCCUUACG
rnacentral:rRNA from 1 species